CCCUUAGAUGUUCUGGGCCGCACGCGCGCUACACUGAUGCAUUCAACGAGUUUCUUCCUGGUCCGACAGGUCCGGGUAAUCUUUGAAUCUGCAUCGUGACGGGGAUAGAUUAUUGCAAUUAUUAAUCUUCAACGAGGAAUGCCUAGUAGGCGCAAGUCAUCAGCUUGCGUCGAUUACGUCCCUGCCCUUUGUACACACCGCCCGUCGCUCCUACCGAUUGGGUGUGCUGGUGAAAUGUUCGGAUCGGCCGUUUGUCGCGGUUUCCGCGUCAUGUGGCUGAGAAGUUCAUUAAACCCUCCCACCUAGAGGAAGGAGAAGUCGUAACA
rnacentral:rRNA from 1 species